rnacentral:tRNA from 1 species
UGGCUUAGAGGUUAAAGUGUCUGCCUGCAAUGCGGGAGACCCAGGUUCGAUUCCUGG